rnacentral:rRNA from 1 species
AAACUUUCAACAACGGAUCUCUUGGCUCUGGCAUCGAUGAAGAACGCAGCGAAAUGCGAUAAGUAAUGUGAAUUGCAGAAUUUAGUGAAUCAUCGAAUCUUUGAACGCACAUUGCGCCCCUUGGUAUUCCGAGGGGCAUGCCUGUUCGAGCGUCGUCACACCCC